CUGAUACUGGCAAGCUUGAGUCUCGUAGAGGGGGGUAGAAUUCCAGGUGUAGCGGUGAAAUGCGUAGAGAUCUGGAGGAAUACCGGUGGCGAAGGCGGCCCCCUGGACGAAGACUGACGCUCAGGUGCGAAAGCGUGGGGAGCAAACAGGAUUAGAUACCCUGGUAGUCCACGCCGUAAACGAUGUCGACUUGGAGGUUGUGCCCUUGAGGCGUGGCUUCCGGAGCUAACGCGUUAAGUCGACCGCCUGGGGAGUACGGCCGCAAGGUUAAAACUCAAAUGAAUUGACGGGGGCCCGCACAAGCGGUGGAGCAUGUGGUUUAAUUCGAUGCAACGCGAAGAACCUUACCUGGUCUUGACAUCCACAGAACUUUCCAGAGAUGGAUUGGUGCCUUCGGGAAC
rnacentral:rRNA from 1 species